GCAUACUGAGGAAACUGGGGGGCCCCAAUCCACCUAGGCCCCGGUGCCAGUUUUUCAGUCGCAUUGCUUACGGCUGCUCUCAUGGGCUCCCCCCCCCCCACCCCGUCCCUUCUGAGGCCUCCUUCCAGUGUGCUCAGGCCGACUCUGACCUCCCCAGAGGAGCCAGCUGGAGCGCCACCCAAGCCUGGGGCCCCUCCCCACUGCUCAGCACCCCCAGUGAACACUCAGCUUUCUCUGGUCCCUGGAAUCGGGAGGUUUGGGGUCUUUUAGCUGUGGGGUGCCCCCUGCACCUGCUCUCCCCUAGCCUGGACUCUAGGGAUCUGGCCUCGCCCUCCACCCUCAGUUCACUUGGCACAGGCUGCCUGACCCUGGGGCCUUGACCUCUUAACUCUUAAGCCAUAGUGGGGAGAGGUCUAGAGGGUGGGCCAGCAGGCGCAUUCGCCUGUCCCCCUUGAGGCUUAUGGAGCUGGGACCUCACCAUCUGUCUUCCCCCGCGCCCCCAAUAAAUGCACACAAACACGUGUGCACAUGGGCACACCCACGCACAAGCACCUCCCUC
rnacentral:lncRNA from 1 species